rnacentral:rRNA from 1 species
AGGACGAACGCUGGCGGCGUGCUUAACACAUGCAAGUCGAGCGGAAAGGCCCUUCGGGGUACUCGAGCGGCGAACGGGUGAGUAACACGUGAGCAACCUGCCCUUAGCUCCGGGAUAGCUCCGGGAAACCGGAAUUAAUACCGGAUACGACCACGGCCGACAUCUGCUGUGGUGGAAAGGAUUCCGGCUAAGGAUGGGCUCGCGGCCUAUCAGCUAGUUGGUGGAGUAACGGCCCACCGAAGGCGACGACGGGUA